rnacentral:tRNA from 1 species
UAGCCUAGUGGAUAAGGCUAAGGAUUGCCAAUCCGGAGACGGCGGGUUCGAUUCCCGU